rnacentral:sRNA from 1 species
UCUGGGGUGCCAUUCCUGGAAGGCAGGAGGUUGGCUGAAGAAGACAUCUUUUACAAACAUUUAGGAAGUGAGAUGGUGAGGUUCCUUCCUGAUUUAGAAUUAAUUGAGGGUUCCUCCCGCCAUUUGAAUUGGAUGAGAAGAACGGUCUUUGUUUUCCUGGCUGAGACAUAAGAGAACAAGCUUGUAAUUUCAUGCUUGGGCAUUAGAUGCAUUUUUGGAAAGCAGUGAUCAUGUCCACUCCACACUCAUUCAUAAAAGGCAAUGUGCUGUCCUGCAAAGAUGACUGGACUGUGAGACAGGAGAUGAGAGAAUAUCUAAUAUUUUUCUGUGUUUAUUCUCUGCUAUUCAGUGUUAAAUUACUCUUUACGGCACAAUGGGGUCUCACUCUGUCACCCAGCCUGGAAUACAG